rnacentral:rRNA from 1 species
AACGUAGGUUCCGAGCGUUAUCCGGAUUUACUGGGCGUAAAGCGUGUUCAGGCGGCUCAGCAAGUCGGGCAUGAAAUCUCUCGGCUCAACCGGGAGGGGCUGUCCGAAACUGCUGGGCUUGAGGGCAGUAGAGGGUGGUGGAAUUCCGGGUGUAGUGGUGAAAUGCGUAGAUAUCCGGAGGAACACCAGUGGCGAAAGCGGCCACCUGGACUGUACCUGACGCUCAAACACGAAAGCUAGGGGAGCGAAC